UCACGCGUAAGCCAUUUGUUGAUUGGUUAGCAUGUGUCGUUCACGCGCCUAAACAAUAAUCUAAUUGGAUAAGUUCUGAUCACGCGAAUGAUGCCUUCUGCCC